CCUGAGAGGGUGAACGGCCACACUGGAACUGAGACACGGUCCAGACUCUACGGGAGGCAGCAGUGGGGAAUAUUCCGCAAUGGGCGAAAGCCUGACGGAGCAACGCCGCGUGAGGGAAGAAGGCCUUCGGGUUGUAAACCUCUGUUGUAUGGGAAGAAGGAUUGACGGUACCAUACGAGGAAGCCCCGGCUAACUACGUGCCAGCAGCCGCGGUAAUACGUAGGGGGCGAGCGUUGUCCGGAAUUACUGGGCGUAAAGGGCGUGUAGGCGGCAAACUAAGUUAGAGGUGAAAGAUUGGGGCUUAACCCCAAGAGUGCCUCUAAAACUGGUUAGCUUGAGUGCAGGAGAGGAAAGCGGAAUUCCUGGUGUAGCGGUGAAAUGCGUAGAUAUCAGGAGGAACACUCGUGGCGAAGGCGGCUUUCUGGCCUGCAACUGACGCUGAGGCGCGAAAGCGUAGGGAGCAAACAGGAUUAGAUACCCUGGUAGUCCACGCCGUAAACGAUGAGUGCUAGGUGUUGGAGGUAUCGACCCCUUCAGUGCCGUAGUUAACGCGAUAAGCACUCCGCCUGGGGAGUACGGUCGCAAGACUGAAACUCAAAGGAAUUGACGGGGGCCCGCACAAGCGGUGGAGCAUGUGGUUUAAUUCGACGCAACGCGAAGAACCUUACCAGGGCUUGACAUCCUCUGACCGAUCUAGAGAUAGGUAAUUCUCUUUUAGAGACAGAGAGACAGGUGGUGCAUGGUUGUCGUCAGCUCGUGUCGUGAGAUGUUGGGUUAAGUCCCGCAACGAGCGCAACCCCUACCGUUAGUUGCCAGCACGUAAAGGUGGGCACUCUGGCGGAACUGCCGUUGACAAAACGGAGGAAGGA
rnacentral:rRNA from 1 species